rnacentral:lncRNA from 1 species
UAGGCAGUGUGUGCAUUUUUUGUCUUCAUGCGAGAGGCAGCGUGUGCCCAUAAGCAGUAUGUGUACUUCUCAUUUUUAUGUGAGAGGCAGCAUGCGCACUUCUUGUUUUCACGCGAGAGAUAGCAUAUGCCCGUAGGCAGCAUAUGCACUUCUUAUUUUCAUGCGAGAGGCAGCAUGUGAACUUCUCAUUUUUAUGCAAGAGGCACAUGUAGGCAGCAUGUGCACUUCUCAUUUUUAUGCGAGAGGCAGUACGUGCACUUCUCAUCUUCAAGCGAGAC